rnacentral:rRNA from 1 species
UUCCUUAGUAACGGCGAGCGAAGUGGGAAGAAGCCCAGGUCUGAAAUCUCCCAGCUGGCAAUUGUCACGGUUGGGCGAAUUGUGGUCUGGAGAGGCGGACUGUCCCGAUCCACUGCUUGCGAGCCCGAAGUUGACUUGGAACGGCACGCCAGAGAGGGUGAGAGCCCCGUAGGGCCCGGAAAUCGGAAGCAGCGGGACGAGGGUCCGUACUCGUAGAGUCGGGUUGUUUGGGAAUGCAGCCCCAAGUGGGUGGUAGACUCCAUCCAAGGCUAAAUACGGGCGCGAGACCGAUAGCUGACAAGUACCGUGAGGGAAAGGUGAAAAGCACUUUGAAGAGAGAGUUCAAUAGACCGUGAAACCGUUGGGAGGGAAGCUCAGGGUGUCGAGGUUGUCGUGCUCUGUCUAAGUUCAGCCGGUGGUGUCGGGGUUGCCUUACGCUGCUGGUGCAUUCUUGGGCGGAGUUGGACCGUCAGUUGGGAAGAGGCCGGGACCUGUUUGUCGGCGGUCGGGAGGUACGCCUUGGACCUCCUUUGGGGUUCAAGGUGACGUAUAGCCGUUCCGUCGUGGUCCCGGUGUCUCUUUCAGGUGCGUUGGAUGUCUGAUCGUCCAGAACAGUAAGAUGCAGUCUCUCUUUCGUGGGGGACCGGGCCCGUUUGGCAGUCGCGAUGCGUUGGUGAGCCGUGUUCCGUUCUCUCUCCGUUUAGCUUCGGCUUGCGGG